rnacentral:rRNA from 1 species
AAGGUCCCAAGGGUUCGGCUGUUCGCCGAUUAAAGUGGCACGCGAGCUGGGUUCAGAACGUCGUGAGACAGUUCGGUCCCUAUCUGUUGUGGGCGUUGGAAAACUGAGAGGACCUGACUCUAGUACGAGAGGACCGUGUCGGACGUACCUCUAGUGUACCUGUUGUGGCGCCAGCUGCACCGCAGGGUAGCUAUGUACGGAUGAGAUAAGCGCUGAAAGCAUCUAAGCACGAAGCUCACCUCAAGAUGAGUUUUCCUUUAAGGGUCGUCGGAGACUACGACGUUGAUAGGCUGUAGGUGUAAAGGCGGUAACGUCUGAGCCGAACAGUACUAAUCACCCGUAACUUUCUG